rnacentral:rRNA from 1 species
UACGGAGGAUCCAAGCGUUAUCCGGAUUUAUUGGGCGUAAAGGGUGCGUAGGCGGUUUGGUAAGUCUGAUGUGAAAUCUAUGGGCUCAACUCAUAGUCUGCAUCGGAAACUGCCGGGCUUGAGUAUGGGAGAGGUGAGUGGAAUUCCUGGUGUAGCGGUGAAAUGCGUAGAUAUCAGGAGGAACACCUGUGGCGAAAGCGGCUCACUGGACCAUAACUGACGCUGAUGCACGAAAGCUAGGGGAGCAAACAGG